GGUGAAUGUAGCUCAGUUGGCAGAGCGUCGGAUUGUGGUUCCGAAUAUCGCGGGUUCGAGCCCCGUCUUUCACCC
rnacentral:tRNA from 1 species